CGGCGGACGGGUGAGUAACGCGUGGGUAACCUGCCUUGUACUGGGGGACAACAGUUAGAAAUGACUGCUAAUACCGCAUAAGCGCACAGUAUCGCAUGAUACAGUGUGAAAAACUCCGGUGGUACAAGAUGGACCCGCGUCUGAUUAGCUAGUUGGUAAGGUAAGGGCUUACCAAGGCGACGAUCAGUAGCCGACCUGAGAGGGUGACCGGCCACAUUGGGACUGAGACACGGCCCAA
rnacentral:rRNA from 1 species